UUUUGAAACUCGCUCUCUCUCUCUCCGGUAUCUCACCGCUGCGUCGGUGCAGAUUUCACUGAGGUGGCCCUGUGCUAUAUCGUAUUUGUCUGAUUGGUGAAGUAACCUGUUUUUGGGGAAAGAAGAUGUGGGAAGUUCAAUGAUUGAGAUUCUUACAUCUUGACACUAAGGAAUCAGGCUUGAGUUCUGGAUGCUGGGAAGUUCAGGAUCAAGGCACCAGCAUGGUCAUAUUCUGGUAAUUGGCAGUUGAUCACUUGGCAUGAUCCUGAUGGGCUGUUUUGGCCCAACCUUCUGUGUGACAGAGCUCCAGGAAGAGGGAACCUAGAGGAGCCAGUGCCAAAGGUGGACAUGGAAGAAGGAGACAGUGGGGAUCUGCACAUGAAUGAAGAGACCUGACUGUGGAGUAUUAGAGGAUUUAUUAAAGGAUUGGACAGUUUUCCUUUAUGGUCUUUGUGAAGCCUCGGAGUUACUAACUGCCAGUGCAAUAUGGUAUCACAAAGAUAACAGCCUUUACUAGAAGUUCAGUUUUCUAUUCCUACCUUGGAAAGCAGCAGCUUAACAAACCCAAGUGGUCAACGUUUAUGGUACUCCUUUCUUCUAGGACCCUUCGAAAUAUAUGUCUUUUGAAUUUAGUUUUGCUGGAAAAAUCUGCAUCCAAUUUGAAUGAAAUUGAAUAUGUUUCAGGGCUCAAGCAGCAUGCCUUCCAUCUGAAGCAAAAUGGAGAUGAAUUUCAAUUAGAUGUUCCCAUUAUAAUCUGUCUCCACCUGUAGUUUUCCAUAAAAAUUGCUAGGAAGUGUGGUAUAAUGUAUGAUCAGGAUUUGCCCACUGGCAGCAGUGUCCCAUUAUCUUAGUAAAAAAGCACAAAAUAAUUAGUCUGAUGCAUAUAGAUAGCAGCUUCUUACAGCGAGUGACUUUAAUUGUGGUGAGUAAUAUAUACGGAGUUUGAAGUAUUAUAUAUUUCCCUCCCAAGAAGAUACCAAUUACUAAUUCAGUUGACAAAGUAACAAUAUUUCAGAAGAUUUAAUGCAAACUGAACAUUGUAGUCAAUAGCCACUGUAAAAUGUCCAUUUUAUGGCCUUAUUUUUGCCUGAGCUUAAUUUAUGGUAAUUUGGUAGUUGCAUAUAGCCUGGAAGUAUGCUGUUGGCUUGAAUUAGUACUUGGGUAUUGCAUAAAUCAUACUGAAUGUUUUGGCUUCAUCUAAUGCCCUUCUUUCUCCUACAUUUGGAAUCCUUCUUAUCUUGUCAUUUCUCUCUCCUCAAUCCUACCUGUAAAUUCAUGGGGCUCUAAGAGCUCAGUAUUUAGGAGAUCACUUCCUCAUAGAGUAGCAUCUUCCAAAUGCCAGAUAGAGUUCUAUGCUUCAGAGGGAGGGAAUUUAGCAAAAAUUUUUUUUGUGGGAUAGAGUAUUUGUAUCAUCCCACCUUAAGUGCUUUAAAGGAAAAUACAAUUCCCUCUCCCUGUCCUAUUUGCCUCUAAAAUCCAUGCUAAUAUAAAAGGCAAGGUUUAAAAGUAUUAUAUUAUUUGAACUAAUUUUUCCAGUGCUGGUUUAUAUUAGUUUUUUCAAUUUUGUUUUUUAAUCUGAAACAUAGGACAAAUAUGCCAGCAUGCUCUAAGCUCACAAGUAAUCUACCUGGGGACCUAAAUAAUAUGAAUCAUCCAACUGUAUGGUAAGAUUUAGUUUAGGUGACUGGGCUUCAAAGAAAUACAUUGGAUGUUUCAGAACUAA